rnacentral:rRNA from 1 species
AUACAGAGGGUGCGAGCGUUAAUCGGAAUUACUGGGCGUAAAGCGCGCGGAGGCGGCUACUUAAGUCAGAUGUGAAAUCCCCGGGCUCAACCUGGGAACUGCAUCUGAUACUGGGUAGCUAGAGUUUUGGAGAGGGAAGUAGAAUUUCAGGUGUAGCGGUGAAAUGCAUAGAGAUCUGAAGGAAUACCAGUGGCGAAGGCGACUUCCUGGCCAAAAACUGACGCUGAGGUGCGAAAGCGUGGGUAGCAAACGGGAUUAGAAACCCCAGUAGUCC